rnacentral:lncRNA from 1 species
AUGAAUGGUUUCUCCACUUCAGGAAGCAGGAACAUGCUCUAUCCAGAGUUUCCAGGACCUGGGGAAGACUUCUGUAAAAAUCCCAGUGCAAUAGGAUUAUACCAGCCCUCCAGACUGUGGCUGGAAAUCCUGAACCAAACAAAAAAAGGCUGCAGGUAAUGAUCAUGGAGUGCUUGAAGGGCAUCUGUCUGCCCUCAUCACAAAGUGAAUUGUAUGGGCCUCCAGGUGCUGUCUGAAGACUGUGAAUAUUUUUGCUGUUUCUGCAUCAACAAACCUUACAUUAUGGAAAGAUGAUAAAACAGAACAUGGAGUUCACCAAGCGAUGAUUUCAGGAAGAAAUGUAGUUAAAUUUUUUCCCAGCAGAUGUGGCUGUUGGA